CCUACGGGCGGCAGCAGUGAGGAAUAUUGGUCAAUGGACGAGAGUCUGAACCAGCCAAGUAGCGUGAAGGAUGACUGCCCUAUGGGUUGUAAACUUCUUUUAUAUGGGAAUAAAAUGUUCCACGUGUGGGAUUUUGUAUGUACCAUAUGAAUAAGGAUCGGCUAACUCCGUGCCAGCAGCCGCGGUAAUACGGAGGAUCCGAGCGUUAUCCGGAUUUAUUGGGUUUAAAGGGAGCGUAGGUGGAUUAUUAAGUCAGUUGUGAAAGUUUGCGGCUCAACCGUAAAAUUGCAGUUGAAACUGGCAGUCUUGAGUACAGUAGAGGUGGGCGGAAUUCGUGGUGUAGCGGUGAAAUGCUUAGAUAUCACGAAGAACUCCGAUUGCGAAGGCAGUUCACUGGACUGCAACUGACACUGAGGCUCGAAAGUGUGGGUAUCAAACAGGAUUAGAUACCCCUGUAGUC
rnacentral:rRNA from 1 species